CAGGGAAUCUUGCGCAAUGGACGGCAGUCCGACGCAGCGACGCCGCGUGGGUGAAGACGGCCUUCGGGUUGUAAAGCCCUUUUCUGGGGGAAGAGAUAGGACGGUACUCCAGGAAUAAGUGUCGGCUAACUACGUGCCAGCAGCCGCGGUAAUACGUAGGACACGAGCGUUAUCCGGAUUUACUGGGCGUAAAGCGCGUGUAGGUGGUUUGGUAAGUAGGGCGUGAAAGCUCCUGGCUCAACUGGGAGAGGCCGUUCUAUACUGCCGAACUAGAGGAUGGUAGAGGGAGGUGGAAUUCCGGGUGUAGCGGUGGAAUGCGCAGAUAUCCGGAGGAACACCAGUGGCGAAAGCGGCCUCCUGGACCAUUCCUGACACUCAGACGCGAAAGCUAGGGUAGCAAACGGGAUUAGAGACCCCGGUAGUCCUAACCCUAAACGAUGUAGACUAGACGUCGCGGUGUAAUAGCUGUCGGUGUCCAAGCUAACGCGAUAAGUCUACCGCCUGGGGACUACGGCCGCAAGGUUAAAACUUAAAUGAAUUAACGGGGUCAUAGC
rnacentral:rRNA from 1 species